UAUUGGAACUUAAUUGAAGUACGAACACAUCGUAAGCAUAUAAUUCGUGUGGUUAACCUUAGGAAUUGUACAUUCGUUUGAGCUGUCUAAGAACGAUGUUUAAUUAAAUACAAAUUCUUUAAUUACAUGAAAAUUCUGUAAUAACUCACUACACAAUUUUUUUUAAGAGGGGCUAGGGGAUUUCUGGGGGGGAAAUUAAUUAGUUUAGGGGUACGUCGCUGAGACCAUCUGGCAAGACCGAGUACGAUUUCUCACAUUCUGAUAACUGAUUUCUGAUUCAUAAAAAGUAUUUUAGGCUACAGCUAGGAGCAAUCGAAACUACCAUGGCUAAUGGCUGUGCUUGGUGUUUUGUUAGUGGCAUUAGCUGGGUUGUGCUAAAGACCGGGAAAGGGCUGUGGAUACUGACAAAAUUGGGGUUCACGGCUGUCGGUGUGGCGGCGGGCAGCUUGGCCGCGCUUGCCAUGGCAGCUGUUGGAAAUGUGCAAGCCGGUAGUUCCAUAGCGCAAGCAACCUCUGCUGGCAUGAGAGCGAUGUGGUAAAUGAGGAUGGGCCUUUGUUUUUAAAGACUACUGGGUGUUCAUUACAGGUCUAUGUUAAAUUUCAAAUGUAUAGAAUAUCUACAAAAUAAAAUAAAAUAUGACUA